GUGGGGAAUAUUGGACAAUGGGGGCAACCCUGAUCCAGCCAUGCCGCGUGAGUGAUGAAGGCCUUCGGGUUGUAAAGCUCUUUUGGUGGGGACGAUGAUGACGGUACCCACAGAAUAAGCUCCGGCUAACUUCGUGCCAGCAGCCGCGGUAAUACGAAGGGAGCUAGCGUUGUUCGGAAUUACUGGGCGUAAAGGGCGCGUAGGCGGUCAGGCAAGUCAGGUGUGAAAGCCCUGGGCUCAACCCGGGAAUUGCGCUUGAUACUACUUGGCUUGAAUUCGGGAGAGGUUGGUGGAAUUCCCAGUGUAGAGGUGAAAUUCGUAGAGAUUGGGAAGAACACCCGUGGCGAAGGCGGCCAACUGGACCGACAUUGACGCUGAGGCGCGAAAGCGUGGGGAGCAAACAGGAUUAGAUACCCUGGUAGUCC
rnacentral:rRNA from 1 species